CUCCCGCCGGCGACCGGCGCACGGGUGAGUAACACGUAUGAAACCUGCCCGUAGCAGGGGGAUAAGCGGAAGAAAUUCCGUCUAAUACCGCGUAACAACCCGAGGAGGCAUCUCCUCGGGUUUAAAGGAAGCGAUUCCGGCUACGGAUGGUCAUGCGUCGCAUUAGCUAGUUGGCGAGGUAACGGCCCACCAAGGCGACGAUGCGUAGGGGUUCUGAGAGGAAGGUCCCCCACACUGGUACUGAGACACGGACCAGACUCCUACGGGAGGCAGCAG
rnacentral:rRNA from 1 species